rnacentral:rRNA from 1 species
UGCCAGCCGCCGCGGUAAGACGAAGGUGGCAACCGUUGUUCGGAAUCACUGGGCAUAAAGAGCACGUAGGCGGAUAUUUAAGUCGGGUGUGAAAGCCCUCGGCCCAACCGAGGAAUUGCGCCCGAUACUGAAUGUCUUGAGGGUAGCAGGGGAGUGUGGAAUUCCUGGUGGAGCGGUGAAAUGCGUUGAUAUCAGGAGGAACACCGGCGGCGAAGGCGAUACUCUGGGCUGCUUCUGACGCUGAGGUGCGAAAGCCAGGGGAGCAAACGGGAUUAGAUA